rnacentral:tRNA from 1 species
AGCGAGGUGGGGUAGUUAGGAUAUCCCGACGGGCUCAUAACCCGUAGAUCGAUGGUUCAAAUCCAUUCCUCGCUA